CUUGGUCAUUUAGAGGAAGUAAAAGUCGUAACAAGGUUUCCGUAGGUGAACCUGCGGAAGGAUCAUUAAAGAGACGUUGCCCUUCGGGGUAUACCUCCCACCCUUUGUUUACCGUACCUUUGUUGCUUUGGCAGGCCCGUCUUCGGACCGCCGGCUUCGGCUGGUCUGCGCCUGCCAGAGGACCCAAAACUCUGUCUGUCUGUGUCGUCUGAGUACUAUAUAAUAGUUAAAACUUUCAACAACGGAUCUCUUGGUUCUGGCAUCGAUGAAGAACGCAGCGAAAUGCGAUAAGUAAUGUGAAUUGCAGAAUUCAGUGAAUCAUCGAAUCUUUGAACGCACAUUGCGCCCUCUGGUAUUCCGGAGGGCAUGCCUGUUCGAGCGUCAUUACAACCCUCAAGCUCUGCUUGGUAUUGGGCUCUGCCGGUCCUGGCAGGCCUCAAAGUCAGUGGCGGUGCCACCCGGCUCCAAGCGUAGUAAUUCUUCUCGCUUCGGAGGCCGCGGUGCGUGCUAGCCAGCAACCCCCAAUUUUUUCAGGUUGACCUCGGAUCAGGUAGGGAUACCCGCUGAACUUAAGCAUAUCAAUAAGCGGAGGA
rnacentral:rRNA from 1 species